rnacentral:rRNA from 1 species
AUUUUAAAGCGGCGGAAUGCUUUACACAUGCAAGUCGAACGGUAGAGGGGGCAACCCCUUGAGAGUGGCGAACGGGUGAGUAAUAUAUCGGAACGUGCCCAGUCGUGGGGGAUAACGUAGCGAAAGUUACGCUAAUACCGCAUACGAUCUAAGGAUGAAAGCGGGGGAUCGCAAGACCUCGCGCGACUGGAGCGGCCGAUAUCAGAUUAGGUAGUUGGUAGGGUAAAGGCCUACCAAGCCAACGAUCUGUAGCUGGUCUGAGAGGACGACCAGCCACACUGGAACUGAGACACGGUCCAGACUCCUACGGGAGGCAGCAGUGGGGAAUUUUGGACAAUGGGCGAAAGCCUGAUCCAGCCAUUCCGCGUGCAGGAUGAAGGCCCUCGGGUUGUAAACUGCUUUUGUACAGAACGAAAAGGUUUCUAUUAAUACUAGGAGCUCAUGACGGUACUGUAAGAAUAAGCACCGGCUAACUACGUGCCAGCAGCCGCGGUAAUACGUAGGGUGCAAGCGUUAAUCGGAAUUACUGGGCGUAAAGCGUGCGCAGGCGGUUAUAUAAGUCAGAUGUGAAAUCCCCGGGCUCAACCUGGGAACUGCAUUUGAGACUGUAUAGCUAGAGUACGGUAGAGGGGGAUGGAAUUCCGCGUGUAGCAGUGAAAUGCGUAGAUAUGCGGAGGAACACCGAUGGCGAAGGCAAUCCCCUGGACCAGUAC